UUCCCAGAUAUACCUUUAUAGAGUCAUAUUGUGAGAGCUGGUGUACAGAUAUUGAUGAUGAUGAUGGAUGUCAGCAACACUGCCUACUCACUACUGACUUACACCUCACUAGGUUGUGUGUGGAAUCCUGGAAGCAGUCAUGGCCGGAGGAUGAAGAUAAGUGACACAGGCUGGAAGAAGAAAGGAGGAAAAGGCACCACUGGCCAGAAGGACUUUGAAGUUUGAACCAAGGAUUAUGAAUUGAAACUGAGAUGACAUCAAAAGAUUCACAUAUUACUGACUCUUUAUUACCAUAUUGUUUGUAAGUGCAAGUGAUUACUGUCUAAAUAAUUUCUUGUAUCUCAAUUGUGUAUUUUGUGUGCUCUACACUCACAUCGUAUAUACCUGCAGCUCCAGGUGUGCGCAGGAUCGCUCUUGUUUGUUUUUAAGUUACUAUUGUUUAUCACUAUCUGGUGCCAUGCCUAUUACU